AGCAGUCGCCGCGGGAAUACGUAGGGUGCGAGCGUUAAUCGGAAUUACUGGGCGUAAAGCGUGCGCAGGCGGUUGUGUAAGACAGGUGUGAAAUCCCCGGGCUUAACCUGGGAACUGCGCUUGUGACUGCACAGCUAGAGUAUGGCAGAGGGGGGUGGAAUUCCACGUGUAGCAGUGAAAUGCGUAGAGAUGUGGAGGAACACCGAUGGCGAAGGCAGCCCCCUGGGCCAAUACUGACGCUCAUGCACGAAAGCGUGGGGAGCAAACAGGAUUAGAUACCCCCGUAGUCCCUGUCUCUUAUAC
rnacentral:rRNA from 1 species